GCUUAUGGAUGGACCCGCGUCGCAUUAGCUAGUUGGUGAGGUAACGGCUCACCAAGGCAACGAUGCGUAGCCGACCUGAGAGGGUGAUCGGCCACACUGGGACUGAGACACGGCCCAGACUCCUACGGGAGGCAGCAGUAGGGAAUCUUCCGCAAUGGA
rnacentral:rRNA from 1 species